GUCUUUAUAUAUUGUCGCCACAGAUAUUGUGUCAUAUAGCCAGCUAGAAACGAUGUUUCCUGGAGCUAAACAACAGUAACCUCGUCCCUUCCAGGACAACUACAUUAUGUUGUCAAAUAGCCUUUACUUU